rnacentral:rRNA from 1 species
AUUGAACGCUGGCGGCAGGCUUAACACAUGCAAGUCGAACGAGUGGCGGACGGGUGAGUAAUGCUUGGGAAUCUAGCUUAUGGAGGGGGAUAACUACGGGAAACUGUAGUUAAUACCGCGUACCAUAGGAUGAGCACAGGUGGGAUUAGGUAGUUGGUGGGGGAAAGGCUCACCAAGCCGACGAUCUCUAGCUGGUCUGCGAGGAUGACCGGCCACCCGGUGACUGUGAGACGGCCCAGACUCCUACGGGAGGCAGCGGUGGGGAAGUGUGCGCAAUUGCGGCAACCUGACGCAGCCAUGCCGCGUGAAUGAAGAGGGCCUUCGGGUUUUAAAGUUCUUUCGGUAGCGAGGCGUUAACUACAGAAGAAGCACCGGCUAACUCCGUGCCAGCAGCCGCGGUAAUUC